rnacentral:rRNA from 1 species
CCAGGCCUUGACAUGCAGAGAACUUUCCAGAGAUGGAUUGGUGCCUUCGGGAACUCUGAGACAGGUGCUGCAUGGCUGUCGUCAGCUCGUGUUGUGAAAUGUUGGGUUAAGUCCCGCAACGAGCGCAACCCUUAUCCUUGUUGCCAGCGGUCCGGCCGGGAACUCAAAGGAGACUGCCAGUGAUAAACUGGAGGAAGGUGGGGAUGACGUCAAGUCAUCAUGGCCCUUACGAGUAGGGCUACACACGUGCUACAAUGGCGCAUACAAAGAGAAGCGAACUCGCGAGAGCAAGCGGACCUCAUAAAGUGCGUCGUAGUCCGGAUUGGAGUCUGCAACUCGACUCCAUGAAGUCGGAAUCGCUAGUAAUCGUAGAUCAGAAUGCUACGGUGAAUACGUUCCCGGGCCUU